GGAAUAUUGCACAAUGGAGGGAACUCUGAUGCAGCGACGCCGCGUGAGUGAAGAAGUAAUUCGUUAUGUAUAGCUCUCUCAUCAGGUAAGAAAGUGACGGUACCUGAAAAAGAAGCUCCUGCUAAAUACGUGCCAGCAGCCGCGGUAAUACGUAUGGAGCAAGCGUUAUCCGGAUUUACUGGGUGUAAAGGGAGAGUAGGUGGCAGAGCAAGUCCGAAGUGAAAACCCAAAGCUCAACUAUGGGAAUGCUUUAGAAACUGCUCAGCUAGAGUGCAGGAGAGGCAAGUGGAAUUCUUAGUGUAGCGGUGAAAUGCGUAGAUAUUAGGAGGAACACCAGUGGCGAAGGCGGCUUGCUGGACUGUAACUGACACUGAGGCUCGAAAGCGUGGGGAGCAAACA
rnacentral:rRNA from 1 species